GAUGAACGCUAGCGGCAGGCCUAAUACAUGCAAGUCGGACGGGAUAGAGAAGCUUGCUUUUCUUGAGAGUGGCGCACGGGUGCGUAACACGUAUGUAACCUACCUUUGUCAGGGGGAUAGCCUCUCGAAAGAGAGAUUAAGACCGCAUAAAAUCACAAUGUGGCAUCACAAAAUGAUCAAAUAUUUAUAGGACGAAGAUGGGCAUGCGGAACAUUAGCAGUUGGUAAGGUAACGGCUUACCAAGGCUACGAUGUUUAGGGAUCUGAGAGGAU
rnacentral:rRNA from 1 species